ACGAGUGGCGGACGGGUGAGUAAUGUCUGGGAAACUGCCUGAUGGAGGGGGAUAACUACUGGAAACGGUAGCUAAUACCGCAUAACGUCGCAAGACCAAAGAGGGGGACCUUCGGGCCUCUUGCCAUCGGAUGUGCCCAGAUGGGAUUAGCUAGUAGGUGGGGUAACGGCUCACCUAGGCGACGAUCCCUAGCUGGUCUGAGAGGAUGACCAGCCACACUGGAACUGAGACACGGUCCAGACUCC
rnacentral:rRNA from 1 species